rnacentral:tRNA from 1 species
GAACGUAUGGCUUAGUUGGUCAAUGCGCUUGGACGGUUUCCAAAGAGGCACGUUCAAACCCCGCUACGUUCA